UACUAAACGUUGAACAAGAGAGUACCUUGGUACCAGACAUUUGUAGCGAGUCCGAGUUGGUGUGAGUCGGACAGUGUCACCACGGGGAAGCGCACUUGGGAGUUUCUAGCAUAGACGGCGGUCGACCGUUAUCGACAAGGUGGUCUGGUGUUUGCCAGAUAACAAGAGUGGUACCGCGGGAAUUUCUCGUCUCUAGU
rnacentral:ncRNA from 1 species